CCAGCGUUGUUCGGAAUUACUGGGUGUAAAGGGUUCGUAGGCGGUGUGGCAAGUCGGGAGUGAAAUCUCUGGGCUCAACCCAGAGUCUGCUUCCGAAACUGCUGUGCUUGAGUGUGGGAGAGGCGCGUGGAAUUGCAGGUGUAGCGGUGAAAUGCGUAGAUAUCUGCAGGAACACCCGUGGCGAAAGCGGCGCGCUGGACCACUACUGACGCUGAGGAACGAAAGCUAGGGGAGCAAACAGG
rnacentral:rRNA from 1 species